rnacentral:lncRNA from 1 species
GUGACUCUUAAAGAAGGUGUUGGAACCAUAGGGGAGCUUACCUUCACUGACAACUCCAGCUGGAUAAGAAGCAGGAAAUUCAGACUUGGGCUGAGGAUUGCUCCUGGCUUUUGUGAAGGCGUUCGUGUCCGAGAAGCCAAGACAGAAGCUUUCCCCGUUAAGGAUCACAGAGGAGAAUGUAUGUGUGACACAUUGUUUAUUUACUCAUUAGAUGAUAUAAAAAUUACCUGUAUUUUUAGAAUUUGUAUCAGUUGCCAAGCAUGCUGAUUUUGUAUUUAUUAGUGUACAAAAAGCACUACCCACCUGCGCUGAAGGAUGAUGUUUGGAGAUUAGAAAAGAUUGGCAAGGAUGGUGCAUUCCACAAGAAGUUAAAUGCUAAUGGGAUCUAUACAGUUGAAGACUUCCUCCGGCUUCUUGUUAGGGAUCAGCAGAGAUUACGUAGUGUAAGUUCUGUGAUACCUGUUAUUACUUACUAUAUUGUGAUUUAUGGUAUUUCCUAUAUAAUUUGACAUCAUAUUGUGAUUUAUGGUAUUUCCUAUAUGAUUUGACAUCUCUUGUUUCUGUAGAUUCUGGGCAGUGGAAUGUCAAAUAAGAUGUGGGACAGCCUUGUUGAGCAUGCAAAGACAUGUGUCUUAAGUGGAAAGCAUUAUGUAUACUAUGCUAGAGACUCGAGAAACGUGGGUGCAAUAUUCAAUAACAUCUAUGAGUUCACUGGUUUGAUCGCCGAUGAUCAGUUCAUUUCAGCUGAAAAUCUCACAGACAAUCAGAAGGUUAGUGUCCUUUGCGACCCUACCAACCACAAUGCCUUAAGUCAAAAACCUUUACAAAUUUGUAUAGUGUCGUCUGUUUGAUAUUCUGCUAAUGUAACCAGUAGAGUAUUUCAGUAGGCAAAGAAUCAACAUUCUUUUUCAAAGAAUAAUACCAUCACUGUUUGUAUGACAGGGAUUGCUUUGGAAGUUUCUAGGAUCUAUUAGCUAAAUCUGAAGGGUUUGAACCCAAAUCCUCUAUCCCAGAGUAGUCUACUGACAUAUUUGUAUUUGUGCUCAUGUUAAACUGCAGGUCUAUGCUGAUGCAUUGGUAAAGAAAGCAUAUGAGGACUGGAUGCAAGUUGUAGAAUAUGAUGGCAAGGCACUCCUGAGCUUCAAGCAGAAAAAGAAAUCUGUCACAACAAGAAGCGAUGCUGCAGCUGCCUCAACAAGCAAUCCUGCUUCAUAUGGUUCGACCAAUUCACAGAAACAAAUGUCCCUUCCAGCAAAAGCUGGACAAACUUCCUCUGUGGGUACUAUGAAUGAAGGUGACAUAUCCUGAUUUAUCCUAUUGAGUUUUUCUUUUUGUUUUAUCCAUACUCUAGUGGCCAUGAGUUUUUAAGGAGAAUUUGCAUGAUAGUAUUGCAAAGAGCAUAAAUUGAAAUAAAAUAAUAUAAGCUAUUGAUGGUGGCCACCUGAUCCAUUUUGGAUGGGAUUUUCCAACUUGUUGGUCUUUGUGGUGACACUGUACAGCAUUGCCCAGUGCCCUUCUUUUAUCAUUUCUCAUGACAUGCCCAGUGAUUUCAGUCUAAGCCUAUCCACCCAUCCUUGCUGGCCCAACAGUGGUGUGCAAAAGUGACAACAAAAUUUUCUGAUAGUUUAUAUUCUUUGUGUACACAACCCAAUUGAUUUACUUCUCAUCAUUUUUUUUGGUCACUGCUGUCUGUUCUGAUUGCAUGGUAUGGAUAUGCUUCUGCAUAUGCCACAUUAUACUAGCAGGGAUCAGUCAAGUAGGAUUGUUCAGUUAUCCUCAACACUGGAAUUAUGGCAUCAGUAACUCUGGCAGGAAUUGCACUAAUGCUGCCUUAUACUGUUGCUGUUGCUUUAUGACAUUUUAAAUACUUAUUAGUCAACAAUUGUCGGUUGUGUAUAGAAAACGAUACUGCUUAUGAUUAUGGGAUAUGGAUGUGCAGUUUACAUGAUUCGUGAAUUUAAUUAAUUCCAUGCGUAUAGAAAAUGAUUUGCAUGAGCUGUGAAUUUAAUUACUUUACCAUGCGUAUGCUGUACUGACAUCACUGAAUUACUUCUGUUCAGCAGAUGGAACUAGAAAUGCAUACAAUGCAAAUGGAAACCAGUCAGCAAGAUAUGCAGCCAACACACAGAACAUUCCUGCAAACAUCACCAUGCAAUAUGACAGGAGUGCAGUGUCUCCUGAAAGCCAGUUUAGUGGUUCAUCCCUUCAGAGUCAAGCUUCAAGAGGGUCCAAUAUGCUAGCACUGGGCCCUUCGCAGCAACAUCAAAGUUUUGAAUUCCCAGCACUUGGCCAGUCUUUGCAGCCAACAGGCCUGAAUCCUUUUGAAGAAUGGCCACAGCAACAGGAGAACCGUGGCGGUGUUGAUGACUACCUGAUGGAGGAGAUCAGGAUGAGGAGCCAUGAGAUUCUGGAAAACGAAGAAAUGCAGCAAAUGUUGCGGCUUCUGAGCAUGGGUGGUGCAGGAACCAACCUAACUGAAGAUGCCUUCAAUUUCCCCUCAUACAUGCCUGCACCUUCACCAAACUUGAGCUAUGAGGAUGACCGCACCCGCGCACCUGGGAAAGCCGUUGUCGGGUGGCUCAAGAUCAAGGCUGCUAUGCGGUGGGGCAUCUUUGUCAGGAAGAAGGCAGCUGAGAGAAGAGCUCAGCUUGUUGAGCUAGACGACUAGAAAGUAACAGCUGGAAGCACGUGCCCUCGAGCUGUUCAUGUACCAAAGUUUCAUUGAUGAUGUUUGUGGAUCCGGAUGGGCUCAGCUAAUGCCCCUUAGGAGGACAGUUCUGGUCCUGAGCUUAAUUAUGUACAAAACACUUUCCAUUUUUCUCCUUUUGUAUAGCUCUUUUACCAUUUAAAAUGUGCUGUUUGUUUAGUGUGAUGCUAGCCAUGUUAUGAACCUUAACCUGAACUCUGUACAUGCAUUUGUUACAGAAUUCAAAACUGGUAAACAUUGGCAUUCUGCAUCCUUUUCUCCGGCAUUAAAUAGCGGUCCACAGACUACAUCCAGUGGGAGGUAUUUGCUGGGCUCCGCCUUAUGCUCCACGGAUAUUACUAUUGUUUCAAAGCACGUCUCGGUGUUUUCGUCCAGAAUGGUUUGUGGCUUGAUGUAUGCAGAAAUGUGGCCCUAUGGUCUUUGGGACAAACUUGAGGUGCUUGAUGUAUGUUUGGAUGGGGGCAUAACUUGGAGGCGGAGUCCCACGUAGGUCUUGUUUAGCUGCAUUUGGUAAUUUCGUAUCAAUUUAAAAUCUACGUGUGUUGGAGUGGAUCGGUGAGCCUAUGUUUAGCUGCACUUGUAAUUUCGUAUCACUCUGAAUCCACAUGUGUUGUGAGAAUUAGUUAAUUAUCCAAUUGUGUUGGAGUGGGUUGGUGUGAGAAAUAGUUAAUUUUUCAUUCUAAUCAACCAAAGUAUUUGUAAAUUGAGGUGGACAUGUGUGCAUUUAGUUUGCGACAAAAUAGAGGACGGUGAAUGAAGUCACUCUUGCGGCAUGAAUUUACCAGUUUCCUUGUUUUCCAUGUGCUGAAUUUCUUUAGUGUUACUCAAGACGCAUGAAUUUAUCAGUUUACUACUCAUAUGAUUUGUGCUAGUAAAACCUUUUUAAGUUUAAUUAGAUUUGUAGAAAAUAUUAGUAAUAUUUAAAUAUCUAAAUUAAGUUUAUUAUUAAAAUAUAUUUAAAGAUCUAUCUAACAAUAGUAGUUAUGUAUCAUAAGUAUUAAUAUUUUGUUACAUAUAUUUGGUCAAAGUUAAAGAUAGUUGAUUUCUUAGGAAGCGAGAAUACUCUUUUUAUGGGACAUAAGAACUAGUUUUAAUGUUCUAAAUUUCUUUAUUCAACAUGGCAUAUAUUUAUUACUUUACCAUUUAUGGGAAAAUGUAAUCGAAAAUGACAAGUGAAGCGUUUACCACUGUGUGAACAUAGGGAAUGUGCUGAGUAGGGUUAGGGCGCAGCUCUGUGAGAUUGAAAUGUUAUGUUAGGCUAGCCUAAACUCACUAAUUAUCCCUUCACUUACCAACUAGGUUCGGAUGCCGAGUUCUAAAUUCAUCAAUUUUACAUGUGGCGUUAUCUUGCAGAGGCUACAAUUGCUUUGGGACAAAAAAUAAUAUGCAGGGGAGGAGAAAUAGAGCAGUAAAAGCACUGCUCAGGCGUUGAGAGAAAAGGAGGCUGUGUUUUUGAGUAAAAGAAACCGUGGAACUUUGGUUGGAAGAAUAAUGGUUUUUGCAACCUUGUACCUAUGCUAUGUGUCAUAUCAACUUUUGUUAUCAAAUAUUGAUGUAUGCUUGUAUUGGUGAACCACGUAGAGAUCUAAUGGUUGUUAGCUCUCCACUAGAUCCUAAUGCACAUGCAAUGAGUUAGAGCAUCUAGUGGCACUGUGACAACCACAUUUCAAUAUAAGUUUCACCCAUCUUCAUAGUACGACUAUUGAUCCUAAAUGUGAUCACACUAAGUGUCUUGACCAUGAAAACAAAGAGCUCCUAUCAAAUAUACCUUUGGCUUGAGCUUUUUAUUUUUUUCUCUUUCUUCUUUUCCAAACUCGAGCACUUGAUCAUCACCAUGGCCAUCACCACCAUCAUCAUGAUCUUCAUCAUUCGCUCCACCACUUGGAAUGUGCUACCCUAUCUCAAAUUCACUUAGAGCCAAGGGUUAGCACUUCGGGUUUCAUCAAUACACCAAAACCAAACAAGAGCUUUCAGAAAUGAAAGCUACUGCUAAGGCGGUGAGAGAAAAGAAGACUCUGGUGAAAGGUCCUAAUGGCUAGAGAGAGGGUGAAUAGCCUAAUAAAAUUUUCUACAACAACACUAAAAGCACUUGACUAGUAUAUAAGAAAGCAAAGCGAAUUUGGCACUAGCUCUAUAUGGGGCAUGCAAAACUCCUACCCAAACUAGUUUCUAUAGUCUCUAAUGAAAUACACCAAGUCUAUGGCACUACUUACCUCUAAAAGAUAAGCUAAGCUAAGCAAGAUAAGGAUCACACAAGCCACGAGGGUGCCGCACUAGGGUGCCGCACAACUAACACAAGAUAUUCUACUUUUUUGACUCGAUUUUGGAAUUUCUAAAAAUCAUUAUCACCUUCAGCUGGUAACACGAACCGUGGUGAUUACUUUUUAUCACAGUUGGUUUCCUAACCGGCGGUAAUAACAUUGGGCAUCACCGCCGACUUUCAGUGCUGAGGGCCAAAACUGUUAGUGAAGGGGGUUCUGGAGCCGACGGUGAAUACAUAUUCUGUAGUAGUGAUGAUAGGGUCAUCAGUUAAAUACUAGUUCUAAUGGUUCAUAGAAUCGAUACGAAAGCCAACAUGUGCAAACCGAUGAUAAAAUGAGACAUUGAUGACGAUGAACGGUGGACAGUUACUCGCUACCUCACUGGAGAAAACUACCUGGUAGACCAGCACGAUCAUGGCUAUCGGGUCCCCAAAGAUGACGUCGAUGACGACACGUACUAUAAAAUAGAGGAUGCUGAGGCAAAGCUUCACCUAGCAAAAUUGCUUCUAUCCCAAUACUGUUGGAUAUAUAGAGAUCACUCAUAUAGUGCACCCAUCCUAUAUACGUAUCUAAUGACAAUGGGGAUGGGAGCAUAUGCCCCUUAAGGGGAACCAUCCUCUUGCUACUAUAGAUGUGGGAGGCAUCGUCGGCUGAGGCCUUGAUGAAGCAAUCAGCGAGGAUGCGCUCAGUCCCAGAAGGACACGUUGGCGAAGCUAAAGCUCUUGCAAGCAGCCAGGUCCCUGACACACGCCACAUGCAGAAACACCACCUCAAUGUUGAUGGAGUAGUAGAACCAGCUCCUGCGGUUUGUGCAGUGGCGCCCCUCGGUCUUGUUGGCAUGGAGGGCGCAUGGCAGAUCAUCUUUGCCCAUGCCCAUGCACAGCUUGAAGGAGAGUCCGACAAGGUUCAAGAUCUUCGACAGGCUUGUGCAACACAAAGUGGAUGUCGUGGUCGAAGUUGGCUAGUGGUAGACUAACCCACACGUGGCGUCGUCGCACGCAUCAUAGAGCCUUCGGCACCCAACGAGGGCUUGUCAAGAGCAAGAACUCUUUGCCACCGAUCUCCCAUAACUUAUGCACGUGCGCGCAACUGAUGUGGAUGUCCAGGUCACACGCCGCGUCGUGACCGCACUCGUACCUCGCGCCGGUGCUGUGCUAUAACACUGUAGAAAUAAUGUUUAGCAUCGUUCACAGAACCCAAGUCCUAUACAAAAGGCCGGCUAGGCCCAAUGUCCGUUUUCACAUAAUAUGUCUUACAUUAGCGACCAUGUGUGAUCAUCAAAUCUUCAUCUAACGGUUCAUAUACUCUUGUAACUCCUUUAAAACCCUAGUAUCUUAUGAUCCCUUGAAAACCUUGAUCAAACGGUCCAUCUUCUCUCUACUCAUGUAUAUAAACUCGUGACCACCCAUCAUCGAUUUCUCACGCCUCACCCAGCCGCCGCCCAUUCUUUAUCGCCUCAUUCCUCUCAGAGCUCUUGCACACCUUAGAGCCUUGUUGCUCGCAUCCACAGUUACAUUCCUUGCGAUUAUCUUUGCUAGAGGUGGCAGCGAUACAACUCACCCUUCUUCACUACUUCACCUCCCUUCAAGCAUAUCCUAUUUCACAACUUAUUGAUGCCAGAUCUGUCGUCUGCAGUGGGUGCGCCUUCUGCUUCUUUUCCUCAUGUUUUUUAUGGUGUCUUGUGUGACUUCUAGGAGCAGAUCCAAUGGUGGGUGAGUUUGGCUCAAGCUCGCUACUACCUCUACAACCUUAGAGUCCCUUCCGUAAGCUCCUCCUAAAUUUUAAGGGAGGGGGGAGGGGGGGCUUAGGAGGUUUGAAGGAAGCAUAAGGCACAUUUACUCUCUAUUUUUCUAUAGAUUUGCCCCUUGUCAUCGUUAAUUAAUUUGUGACACAAUGUCACCACACUCAUGGUGCAUUCCUUUUCUAAACCUCAAGUUUUAUAAAUGGAUUGUUUUCUAAAUCUCUCCUUUGCUGGCAGCAAAGAAGAUGGCAAACACACAAGCACGAAUCAGGACAAACAUAGUAAGGUAUGCCUGGAACUUUUCUAAUCAGUGGUAACAAAGUUACCAUAUAAGUUAAGUGAUGUGAUCUCUCGAUCCUACGAACAUUAAAAAUUUAUUGAAAAAAGAUAUUGUACCAUUUUAUGACAUUGUAUCGGCGCUGUUUAGCACUAUUUAUCAUUGUCCACUAGUAAGUUACCAUAUAAGUUAAGUGAUGUGAUCUCUCGAUCCUACCGAGAAAGAUGUUAUAACAUUAAAAAUUUAUUGAAAAAAGAUAUUGUACCAUUUUAUGACAUUGUAUCGGCGCUGUUUAGCACUAUUUAUCAUUGUCCACUAGUACUUUUGAGGGGUAUCUAAAGUCACUUUUACUAGUUAUGUGCUACAAGUUCUCUUUUUUUUCUAGAAGGAGGGUAUAGAUAUCAAUCAGGAUAGUUGAAUGAAUUUGACACAAAGCUGUCCUACCAAAUGGAGGAGUAGGAAAACCUUUUGCCAGGUUCAAUUUGUGUCCAAACAUAGUACCAGCGCACCUCACUUUCCACUUUGCACUGUGCUGCUGACGGCGUAUUGGCCAGAAAUACCAGGCCGGCAGGCCCUAGGCUCCCACACCUCCCAGUCCCAGUACGAGUGGCCACAGAGUGACAGGAUCGGGAUCCCAAACGCCACAUAAGAUCCGUACAUCUUUGACUAGGUACAGUGUCGCGCGUCCCCGCCCCACCUAUUGAGGUCUUGUUUGGAUGUUGUUAGAUUCACCUCAAUCCACAUGUGUUGGAGUGAUUUAGAGUAGAAUUUAGUUCAAGUUCCACUCUAACUCACCCCAAUACAUAUGGAUUGAUGCGAAUUACAACUACAUCCAAUCAAGACCUUAGGCCAGUCUCAAUGCAUGUUUCGUAAGAGUGUCAUGCACAUUAAAUAGGGUGCCACAUAAGCAAAAUUGCUGACUUGGCAGGGUCAUUAAAUGAAGGAGUUUCAUCAGAUGAGAGAGAAGUUUCAUCUCCAUGAAACUCAUAUGGCUCGGUUACCUAGUUUAUAGUUUUGUUAACUGUGCCAUGAAACUAUGCAUUGAGACUGACCUUAUGUGUUUUUUCACCAACCACGAACUGAAAACCCACCCCACUGAUUGGUGGGACGCCAUUGCCGAGGUCCACCUGUCAUCGAUGUCGGCUCAUGCUGCCUGAGACAUCACCGACGAAUAGGACCCAGCGCAACAUGACCCACCAGUCAGUGAAGUUCGAAUAAUGAGCGGCAGUCCGCAACGCCCCAAUAUAGAGCACGAAAUAUCCUAUCAUCUGGUCCGGCCAUCUUUACCCGUAGCCGCCGCCGUCGGCAUGCGCCCCACCACCAGGUCACCCACCUUGUCAACCCCCACUAUUCCACCCGCGCACUGACACGUGGAGCCUCUGCUUCCAGGACCCGCUUGUCAUUGUCCGUUGGUGCCGGACCUCCGAUCUCGUGGGCCCGGACAGUCAGCGAGCGAGAGCCGUGCCGGAGUGGCUUGCGGCCGGGUAGGCGAAGCACGCAAGUAAACAAACCCAUUUGCCAGAGGCAGCACAACAAGCACAGCACCCACGCAGAGCGGCGCUCGCUCUCCGCCCCGCUCCGCCACACUCCCCAGAGCGCAGAUCUCUCGCAGCAGCUCGGCCUCGCGAUUCCGCAGGAGAGUGUUGUACUCCGCGCCGGCGGCGCCGAUUCGGUACCACGCCGCUUCGCUUCGCUUCGGCUUGCGUCCCUGCACUCCUGGUGCUUAUUUUGGGGAUUUUUUUUUUCACCUUGGUUUCUAAUGGGCGCAGAUCUGACGGGCGCGCAGCGGAAGGCUGGAGGAGGGCACUAGGAGCUGAGGGGGAGGCUAGGGUUAGGGUUCCGGCGCGAUGCAGCGCCCGGGACGACUUCAGCGGUCGGGGUCCAAGCGUGGGCUGGACCCCACCGGUAGCGGCGACGACGACGACCAUGCGCCCAAGCGCCCGCGCGUCCCCGCCCUGGCUAGGUGCGCGUGUGUUAAUGCUUUGAUUCUGCUAACUAGAGUUUUUUCAUUGGUUAGGUUCCAUGCCUUAGGUUGUUGCCGGUUUGAGACGGGAAGAAAUAUGAAACCCCUGCUUUGCUUUGAUUGAUUGAGAUGACUGGCGGAAGUAGCAGUGAUUACUAUGCUAGUGUUGUUGCUGUUAAGCUUAGUAUCAGUAGUUCGGUACAAAUGAGUGCAGGAAAAGGAAGUGGCCUAUGAGUCUUUUUGUUGAUUUGAUUAACCGUCGGACCAAGCUCCAACAGGAGUUUGGUUUGGUACAUGUGGAAACUACCUUUUGUUCUGAGAUGAGGUACGAAUUGCUACAAAAAGGAAGUGUCCUAAGUGGAUAAUUAUGAACCUACUCUGGUCCAUGCGAAAGGGAUUUUUUUUGGUAGUUCUGAGUGUUUGCUCUUUUGGCUGUUGGGUGCUCUCCAGCUCAGUCAGAGCACCAUAAGCAAAGAUGGUAAAGGCAUUAUGCUGUAGAAAUUGGAUGUUCCAGUGCUUAUAGAACUAAAGUUCAAUAUUAGCAUAUUUUUUUGCAUUUAACCAUGCAGACAAUUGGUAACUUAAAUUGGCCUGGCUAGAAGGCUAGUUAUGCCAUGCUGUUAUUGAGACAAUUCUCCUGACUCAGAAAUCAAUAGUUUGUUUACAUGAGUUAUAGAUUGUCAAUCCAUGCCAAAAUCAUGACCUAGGUUAUCACUCUACUCUCAUACCUCGUUUUCCUUCUGAUUUUACCCUGUUAUGUCUUUCUUUGUUCACUUUGGUGCCUGGUGUUGGGUUUCAUCUCUAGCAUGCCCCAACUUUCUUGGGAAUAAAGAGGUUUUGGUGCUGGAGAUCUGCCAGCCAGGCCUAUAUCAGUGUGGGAACUGAGUUGGGGUGCACAGUUAGGGGCCGGUUAGCUAAUAUAUUAGAUGGAAUGAAUGAGAUGCUGAUGAUACAUAAAAUUAAUUUUGUAGAGUUUAGUGAUAAGUUACAGUUUUUAAUCUACCACCCUUCAAACUACAAAUAUGUUUGUUGCUUAACUAAUGAAACAUUUUUCAGUGUCAUUGUGGAAGCUCUCAAGAUGGACAGUUUGCAGAAGCUCUGUUCAUCGCUCGAGCCCAUUCUCCGAAGAGUGGUGAGUCAAAUUUCUGUUGUGACUUAUUUUAGUUUAUAUGCAAAUUGUGUAUACAUAUCCUUAUUGACAUAUUUGAUCCAUUCUAUUUCUGGUCCUAGGUAAGUGAAGAAGUAGAGCGUGCUUUAGCCAAACUGGGUCCUGCUAUUCAAGGAAGGUAAAAAAAAAAUCAACUUACUCUUCAUGGUGACGCUUGGGAGAUGUUCUGUCUUGGAAAUUGAGAUUUAUUAUUGCUAUUGUGAUAUUACCACACUAAAGGCUCUUGGGUUAUGAAACUAAUAUCAAUGAAAACAGAUCCUCCCCCAAAAGAAUUGAAGGCCCUGAUGGAAGAAAUCUUCAGCUUCAGUUCAGAAGUCAGUUGGCUCUUCCAAUCUUCACUGGUGGGAAAGUUGAAGGUGAGCAGGGCGCAGCUAUACAUGUCGUGCUGUUGGAUGCAAACACUGGAUGUGUUGUUACUUCAGGACCUGAGUCGUUUGCAAAACUGGAUAUCCUUGUGCUUGAGGGCGACUUUAAUAAAGAGGAAGAUGAGGAUUGGACAGAAGAAGAGUUUGAAAGUAAUAUUGUCAAGGAGCGUGAAGGGAAGAGGCCUCUUUUGACAGGUGACCUGCAAGUGACUCUUAAAGAAGGUGUUGGAACCAUAGGGGAGCUUACCUUCACUGACAACUCCAGCUGGAUAAGAAGCAGGAA